AUUGAACGCUGGCGGCAGGCCUAACACAUGCAAGUCGAACGAGUGGCGGACGGGUGAGUAAUGUCUGGGAAAAUGCCCGAUGGAGGGGGAUAACUACUGGAAACGGUAGCUAAUACCGCAUACCAUCGGAUGUGCCCAGAUGGGAUUAGCUAGUAGGUGGGGUAACGGCUCACCUAGGCGAAGAUCCCUAGCUGGUCUGAGAGGAUGAGCAGCCAUACUGGACGUGAGACACGUUCCAGACGCCUACGGGAGGCAGCAGUGGGGAAUAUUGCACAAUGGGCGCAAGCCUUAUGCAGCCAUGCCGCGUGUAUGAAGAAGGCCUUCGGGUUGUAAAGUACUUUCAGCGAGGAGGCGUUACUCGCAGAAGAAGCACCGGCUAACUCCGUGCCAGCAGCCGCGGUAAUAC
rnacentral:rRNA from 1 species